ensembl:lncRNA
CAACAAUUUACAACACCAAAGGAGAUUGCAACCAAAACUGGGAAUGCAAGGGUGAGAUCAGGGUGCACCUGUCACAAGAUUUUAGGCACCUGUGUGGGGAUAAAAGGGCUCACAGUGAAUCAUUAAUUACAUAAUUCAAUUUUGGACAGCUGGAGGGGGUUAGCAGCCCAUGAAUGCCUCUGCUUCAACUUAUUAGCCUUUCUUUAUUUCUCUUUACAAAACAGAGUUAUUUUCCAGCGAUGUAACUAUUAGCAGUAUGGCAGCAUCUGGAAUUUGAGAUCAAGAACAAGAUGUCUGUGUCCAAACUGCCUCUGGCACGCUGCCCCUGACUGUGUGCUAUUCCUCUGACAAGAGCCACAACUUCAUGUCAAUAAUUAAACUUCCCACUCGAUUACCAGGAAGUUCCAAGUCCUUACUCUGUGUUGACACAGGAGAAGUGGCUCAUCCUGACAUGGCAAUGGCAUCUGGGCAUUUGUUCAAAACACUCCCAAGAGUCCUUUGUCCCACCAGACAUUCACAUAACUGCGGUCCUGCUUCAGAAGGAUAGACCACUGCUUCUUGACAAGGUCUGCACUGCACAGCCUCUUACUGCUGCCCAUACGUGCUGGUGACCUCCUACAUUUUGUCUGGCCAUUGGUGCCCUGAGCGUCUCCAUUCUUGGGGAUCUGGUAGGACUGCUGCUCUCUGGAGCUUCUCAUUUCUCAGGAAUA